UCACCUACUCCACACUCUCCAGUCACUUUGAGUUGUCCCUCAUGGACUCACCUCUUGCUUCUGUUGACUUGUGGAUCUUCUGUGAUGUUUCACUGCCGUCAGAGACUCAGGAGAACUACUUAAUGGAUUUCCUCCGAACUUGAACUGGAAGUGUGGGACAUUGUUUUGGCACCAGAUUCAGACAAAGUGACAAAUUGAGGAGGUGCACAGGCCGACGGGGUGAGGAAGAGAUUCAGACAGACGUUCCUCGCCUAUGACCCGUCAGAGACUCAGAGAUAUCAGGAUCACGCUGGCGGCCAUAUGUCCAAGCGAUGGCUGCAUCCAAGCCCUUCUGUCUAGGUGAUAGACUCGGCCCAAUUAAC